GCUUCACAUUUCCAAGAAGAAAAUGAUUCAAGGGGGACACAUAAUAAGUAGAAAUCCGAGUGCCUUUUAUGGAAAUGACUUAGGUUAAUGGUUGCAAUUGAUGUUUUUAGAGUCUGUCUUCCUUGUCUUAAAGUUGGAAUUGUUGUGUGUAUGUAUGGGUGUGUGUGUUUAAGAGAAAAUGUUUUGCUGCACCCCUUCCAGAUUUUCAGCAUAAAGUGUGGCGUGUGCCCAGCUGGGGAAGAGGAAUAUAUGAAAUGGAGCCAGAUGUCUAAGCAAAUCUGCCAGGAAUUCUCCUCAACUCCUGUUCUCUUUCAUUCUUUCUUGGAAACCAACACCAAAGAGAAAAACACAUGCAAACAACAUCAAAGGGGGUUCUCAAGAAAGAACUAAACAUCCACUGGACACCCAAUGGAAACAUGGGUCAGUCUCCCCAUUACAGGGCAGACGUACAAUCAUGAUGCUUUUAAAAAAAUGCCAAGUAAUAUUUGGUGCCUCUGUGGACAUGCGAUGAAUAUUAACCACCAAUGAAUUCACAUGGGUCACUUAUCUAUUCAACCAUUUGCUGGAUCCAAUUAUUUCGAAAGACCCUACUGUGCCAUUGUCAGCAUUAUUUGAAAGAUUGUGGAGAAGAGCCAAGGCAUCAGAUUUGAGAAAGGCAAAUGUACCAAAUUUCAAAAAAAUGAAAGAGAAGAGAUUUCAAAUUAUUUACAAGUGAGUUUGACUUUGGUCCUUGGGAAAAUUCACAUACACACACACACACACACACACACACACACACACACACAUCACACACACAUCACUUUUCUUCCAUCUUAAAUUUGUUUCUAAGUUUAGUUUCCAAGGCAGAAGAGUGGUGAAGAAUAGACAAUUGGGGUUAAGUGACUUGCUCAAGGCUCCAAAGCUAAGAAGUGUCUGAGGCCAGAUUUGAACCUAGUCUAGCCCUUACUGCUCUUCUCCCUUGGAACUUAUAUUUAGUCUCACUUCUAAAAGAGAAGGUAAGGGUUUAAAAAAAAGAAGGUGGUGGGUUCCCUUUCAUUGCAGGUCUUCAAGGGGAAUUUUGUUUAGUUCUGGGUUGGACCCAAUGACCUCUAAGGUCUCUUCUAAUUCUGUGAUGCUGGGAAAUAUGACCAUUCAUAAAAGAAAUCCUUGACAGACAUCAACUAUAAUAAUUAAAGGCCUCUCUGGAAGGGGUGAUAAAAAUAAGAUGCAAAAUGCCCCCUGAUAAUAAUGGCUUCUUGCGUCUUGUGUUCUUCUCUUGGAGAGAUUCCAAAUGCUAUGUGAACCUUAAGAAAGCUGCUAUUAAGAAGAAUCACAUCAAAAAGUAUUCAUUAAGUACAUCAAAUACAGUUCUACUCUAUCUAUGCUUUGA